UACGGGGGGUGCAAGCGUUGCUCGGAAUUAUUGGGCGUAAAGCGCACGUAGGCGGUCCCUUAAGUCGGGUGUGAAAGCCCUCGGCUUAACCGAGGAAGUGCAUUCGAAACUGGGGGACUUGAGUACUGGAGAGGAUGGCGGAAUUCCCGGUGUAGAGGUGAAAUUCGUAGAUAUUCGGAAGAACACCAGUGGCGAAGGCGACUUACUGGACACAUAUUGACGCUGAGGUGCGAAAGCGUGGGGAGCAAACAGG
rnacentral:rRNA from 1 species